GGGUCGGUAGCUCAGUCGGUAGAGCAGUGCCCUUUUAAGGCAUUGGUCAGGGGUUCGAGUCCCCUCCGACCUACCA
rnacentral:tRNA from 1 species